rnacentral:tRNA from 2 species
GACAGUUUGGCCGAGUGGUCUAAGGCGCCAGAUUUAGGCUCUGGUCCGAAAGGGCGUGGUUUCAAAUACCACAGCUGUCA